rnacentral:rRNA from 1 species
AAGAAGUUUCCUGGAGGAUCUUCUCUGUCGUCCGAUUUGGAGAUUCGGACCUGCAGCAGGGCUUCACCGGGCGGUUCAGUCAUUGUAGGGGUCCUCUUCUUCCAGUUCCUCAUUGGUUCUUUCGUUCCAGUGGCGACUCUGUCUUUCCAGUCCCAGAGACCUGCUCUUUAUGCAGUUUUCCCCCAUUCAUACAGCCUGGCUGUCAAUCACACAGGCGGGUGGCUGGCCUGGCAAGACCAGUCCCCUUAGCCAAUCAGACAAGAGUGUGACUUGGGCUACCAAGUCAACCCAUGGUAGGGUUCUGAAGAUCCCUCCCUCACAUGCUGCAUACCUAGACUAUCAGGCACCUUAAGGAGGGCUUCUGUGCAGAAGCCCGUGAAAAGACAGCGAACAAAGGAGUCAUCCCCGGUUUGGCGCACAGAGAAAAGCACGAGAAAGACUUUAACAAAAAGAAAUGGUGAAUAAACCCAGCCGGAACAAAAAUAAAAUGUAUUUGGUCAAGCGGGUUUUAUGUUCGAGUCUAAUAUAAUAGCCUAAAACAUUACCACGUUAUAUGAGAUAAUCACGGUAGAAAAGUUAGGGUAGAUACCACUGCCACCAGCCAAGUCUUAAUGUUAAGGGAGCGAAACAAUGCCCCAAGAGGUACAGACAAAAAGGGAUAAGAGUUAACCCUUUCCAAUACUCCAUGUAAGAUGGGAUGUACUGGGCCUGUGGUUUAAAGUGACUGUAUAAAGUUAAUGGCAACUUUACCUGUUUCUGGGGGACAGUAGUCAGCCCCUAGAAAAAUGGAGUCAGUGGGAAGUCUCAAAGACAACCCUGUGUCACUGCACUGAAGGUGCUGUGUAACAGACACAAAAAAGUGGUGCACAUGGAGUAGGUGAGGCUCCAGUGCCCAAGAUCACACAGAAAGUAGAAAUACACACAACAAAACACAUGUAAGAGUGGGAAAAAAGGCUCACACUUUACCAGGUAAAAAAAAUGAAUCUAGAAAUCCAGCAAAGCUGCUGGGGGACUCUUUAGGUAAGGGAAAUCAUCUAUUUAUGAGAAUUCUCCCUAACACCAGUCAGUAACUUUUAUUAAGCAGAACUGACACUGCGGGAUGAACCAAAUGCUGGGUUAAGGCCCACGAUGCUGAAGCUCAUCAGACCCCAGAAAAGGUGUUGAUUGAUAUAGACAGCAGGAUGGUGGCCAUGGAAGUCGGAAUCUGCUAAGGAGCCCCGGGGAGAGUUCUCUUUUCUUUGAGAAGUGCUCGGCACCCUGGAUUGGUUUUGCCCUGAGAGAGGGGCCAAAGCCCUGGAAAGCGUUGCGGUUCCGGCGGCGUGCAGUGAGCUCUCGCUGGUCCUUGAAAAUCCGGGAAGAUGGUGUAAAUCUUCGCGCCGGGCCAUAUCCAUAUCCACAGCAGGUCUCCAUGGUGAACAACCUCUGGCAUGCCGGGCCGUACCCAUAUCCGCAGCAGGUCUCUAAGGUGAACAGCCUCUGGCAUGUUGGAACAAUGUAGGUAAGGGAAGUUGGCAAGUCAGAUCUGCAACUUCUGGAUAAGUAUUGGCUCUAAGGGCUAGGUCGGUCGGGCUGGGGUGCAAAGCGGGGCUGGGCGUGCGCCGUGGCUGAAUGAGGCGUCACACCCUCCCUCCCCCUGGGGUGCUGUCGAGUCUGGAUGCGAGCCGGGCCCUGCAGGUGGAUCGCCCCAGCUGCGGAGGUCACCUCUAUCUGUUCCCCUCCUGGGGUUCGGGUCUGACGUUCUGCUUCAGCCGACGCCCAGCACCUGACUUGGAACUGUUGCAGACCAGGGGAAUAUGACUAUUUAAUUAAAACCGCAUCGGGAAGGCCUGCGGUGGGUGUUGACGCAAUGUGAUUUCUGCCCGGUGCUCUGAAUGUCAAACUGAAGAAAUUCAAAUAACCGCGGGUAAACGGCAGGAGUAACUAUGACUCUCUUAAGGUAGUCAAAUGCCUUGUCAUCUAAUUAGUGAUGCGCAUGAAUGGAUGAACGAGAUUCCCACUGUUCCUACCUACUCAUGUAGCGAAACCACAGCCAAGGGAACAUGCUUGGCAGAAUCAGCGGGUAAAUAAGACUCAGAUGAGCUUGCCUCUAGUCUGGCACUGUGAAGGGACAUGCAAGGUGUAGGAUAAGUGGAAGACCCUCGGGCCACCGGUGAAAUACCACUACUCAUCAUUUUUUCACUUACCCGGUGAGGUGGGGGCAGAGCCCGUGGGGCUCUCACUUCUGGCGUGCAUGACCCGCUCUGGGGACAGUGGCAGUUGGGGCGUUUGACUGCGGCGGUACAUUUGUCAAACAAUAACGCAGGUGUCCUAAGGCAAGCUAAGGGAGGACAGAAACCUCCCGCAGAGCAGAAGGGCAAAAGCUCACUUGAUCUCGAUUUUUCAGUAUGAAUACAGACUGUGAAAGUGGGGACUCAUGAUCCUUCUGACUUUUGGGUUUCACGCAGGAGGUGUCAGAAAAGUUACCACAGGGCUAACUGGUUUGUCGUGGCCAAGCUUCAUAGUGACAUCGCUUUUUGAUCCUUUGAUGUCGGCUCUUUCUAUCAUUGUGACGGAGAAAUUCACCAAGCGUUGGAUUGGUCACCCACUAAUAGGGAACGUGAGGUGGGUUUAGACUGUCAUGAGACAGGUUAGUUUUACUCUACUGAUGAUGUGUUGUUGCAAUAGUAAUCCUGCUCAGUGCAAGAGGAACCGCAGUUUCAGACAUUUGGUGCAUGUGCUUGGCUGAGGAGCCAAUGGGGCGAAGCUACCAUCUGUGGUGUUAUGACUGAACCCCUCUAAGUCAGAAUCACCCCUAAACUGUAAUGAUACCGCAUCGCUGUCGAGCCUCAGUUGGCUUAGCAUAGCUGGCUUCUGGGCCGUGUGUAGAGCCGCUCGCCUCGGGACUCGAGUGUGGACAGAAGGGGGGCCACCUCUCUCGCCCGUAGUGUAGCGCAUGUUUUGUGGGGAACCUAGUGCUAAAUCAUUCGUAGAUGACCUGAUUCUAGUUCAGGGUUUCGUAAGUAGCAGAGCAGCUACCUUGCUGCGAUUUAUUGAAAGUCAUCCUCUGAACCAAGCUUUUGUCAC